rnacentral:lncRNA from 1 species
UAGCAUCACCUUUAAGAUUAUCAACUUCAGUAGGACGAAAGUAUCUCUUAUCAAUCACAACAUGAUCCUUCCAAUUCAAUCCAACAUAACCAAAAGCAACUUCCAAAAACUCUUCCACCGUAUGUGAAUCCUCCGUCGCCACAACAUAAUCAUCAGCCUUUUCCUGUUGUAGCAUCAACCACAUAGCUUCAACAUAAUCACCAGCAAAUCCCCAAUCCCUCGACGCACUUAGGUUUCCAAGAAACAACUUACUUUGAAGCCCGAUCUUGAUUCUUCCAACAGCUCUAGUAAUCUUCCUUGUAACAAAAUUCUCUCCUCUACGUGGUGAUUCAUGAUUGAAGAGAAUUCCAUUACAAGCAAAAAUUCCAUAUGCUUCACGGUAAUUCACGGUGUACCUAUCAGAUCCAUAAAAGUUAGUUACAUAUCAGUGUCAGUGUUAUUUUCACAGUGUACCUAUUAGAUAUGUAAAAAAACUAGUUACAUUGCGAGGUGUAAAAGUUAGUUAGUGUUAUUUUCAGUGUACCUAUUCGAGAUGUAUAAGUUAGUUAAUGUUAUUUUUCAGUGUACCCAUUCGAGAUGUAAAAGUUAGUUAUACAAAUAUCAGUGUUAUUUUCACAAUGUACUUAUUCGAGAUGUAAAAGUUAGUUGCUACAUAUGAGUAUCGCUGUUAUUCAUAGUAUUAGAGUUGUAAAAGUUAGUUAAAUCGAUAGUGUUACUUUCAAAGCGUACUACCUAUUAGAGAUGUAAAAGUUAGUUAUCAUUAAUUUAUGCAUUUAUCAUAUUUAUGAGUUCUAUCAAGAAUUGUAAUAGUACCAAUGCGCAGCGACUUUGGAAGCGGCGUAAGGAGACCGAGGAUGAAACGGAGUCGUUUCAGACUGCGGCGGUGGAGUUGAUCCAAACAUUUCGGAAGAUCCAGCUUGAUAGUACCGAAUGUGAGAUCUUCCUGUUGCAUCGAUAUGAGAUCGGACAGCUUCAAGAAGACGGAGAGCACCUGUAGCAACAACAUCAGCAGUGUAAUCGGGAAUCUCAAACGAAACCGCGACGUGUGACUGUGCAGCGAGAUUGUAAACUUCGUCGGGGAGAAUAGUGUCGAGCCAGCGACGGAGAGAGGAAGCGUCGGAGAGAUCGGCGUAGUGAAGCUUCAUAUGAGCUUUGUGAGCGUUGUGUGGAUCGACAUAGAUGUGAUCGAUUCGUUGUGUGUUGAAGUUUGAAGAACGGCGAAUUAGGCCGUGGACGGAGUAGCCUUUGUUGAGGAGGAAUUCCGUUAGGUAUGAUCCGUCUUGGCCUGUGAUUCCGGUGAUUAAUGCGACUUUACGCGGUGGAGGAGUGGUGUCGCCGUUUGUUGUUGACGGUGCUGGGGUUUUUGAUGAUGAAUCUGCCAUUGUUGUGCGAGAAAUGAGAGAUUGUGAUUGUGAUGAUUGAAAUGCGUGAGAUCUCGUUGAGGCUUUAUUUAUGGAGUGAUAUGAUGUAAGGAACGCGGUUUCUUGAUCGGAUUCUGAAUUUUUACACUGCCAGAAUUACUUGAUUGAUUGUUUGCGCUAAUGUUGCUUACUUUCCCAUUUGAUGUCUUAAACGUGUUUUUGGAAUAAUUGAAAAUUAUAGUAGUCAAUUUUGUUUUUUCUUUUUUUCUUUUAUGUAAACAAUCAAUAUUUUCCUUUUUUUUUUUUUUUUUUGUCAAGUAGUCUAGUGGCUAGAGCUCACACAAUUAAAUUGUGAAGAAGUGGAGUGUAUGGGGUUCGAACCACAGCCCCUGCAUAUAAUAUGCAAUAUCCCUACCAACUGAACUAAACUCACGGGGAUAAUCAAUAUUUUCCUUUAAUAACUUUAAAUUUUGAUUACAUUCAGCUAUCAUAAAUCAGUUGAUAGGGAUCUCACUUUGGGAGAUAUUAUGCUUAAUCUUUCUCUUAUUCUAAUUUUUUUUGAGGAUUCUCUUAUUCUAAUUAUGGUCGGUAAAUUAUUUGAUAAAAAUAAAAUUGAUUUUUUUUGUAUAAAUCGGAUAACAUCAUCUACAUGCAAUUUACAAAGAUAGAUCUUUCGAGAUUUAUGUGACUCAAAUGAAUGAUAAACUCUUACUCAUAAUCCAUUUAAAGAGUAAGUCAGAUUAGGCUUAAAUCUCAUGUUUAAUACACCAAAAUAUAUAAUAAAAUAAAUUUGUUUGCUAUCCUAUACUUACUUGCCUUUUGUAAUUCUUAUUCUGAGUAGACCACUUAAAAACUAUCCUGAUUAAAAAAUCAUUCCUUACUUGUUAUCAUGAUAGGUAUCUCCUGUCAAAUAAAAAAAUGCGUAUGUUAUCAUUCAUUCAUGGUGUCGGUGACUGAAUUACAUGUUGGUUGAUCUGGAUUCUUGGAUUUAGAGUAUCUAUUGGGUGUGGUGGGGGUAUGGAUCUGGUGAUGUGUCAUUAAAAAAAGGAGAGAAAAUAAGUGAAAAUCUUAUGUAUCGAAAACUCUACACUAUUGUAACAAAAAAAAAGAAAACUCUACACUUUAAGAUAAAUAUAGAUAGAUAGAUAGAUUAUAGAGUUAUACUUAAGAAAAAUUGAGCGCAACAGUUUUCAAAAAGUUUUUUGUUGAAAGAUAUAAUUUGAACUUUUUUUUUACCAAAAAGAUAUAAUUUGAACUUAGCAAGACGAAAUUAGCAUUGUGGAUUUGAUGAAAUUAUUGUCAAAACCUGAAAUUCUUCGUAUAAAUAUAAAUAUGUUGAAAAUCCUAAAUCUAAUCCCUAACAUAUCCAUAUAUAUACGUAUCCUAGCUCCAUACAUACAUUUUGGUUUUGUUACACUCCAUACAUACAUUUUAAAAUCAAAGAAACGAAACAAGUAGAUAUCACAUAAGAAAAUGAAAUACAUAAAAAAAAAAAAAAAAAAAAAAGUUACAUGGGCUAAAUCAUAAACAUUACUUUUGUUUUCCUUAACAAAAUAAUUAAAAUGAUUUCAUUCAAAAAUAAAUAGUAGUAAACUUUAAAUAUCAAUUUCUUAAACCAUCUAUUCAAAAUAAAAUAAGUUAGGAUACAUUCAAUGUAAAUAAUUUUAAGAUAAAUUAAUCCGUAUAAUAAUCAAUUAUAAACAAUACAUUUCACCAACACAAAGACAAAUAUUUGUGACAAAAGAAAUACAAAGCAAACAAAUAUAUUUUGUUAUAAAUAAAUAGUCACAGAAUAUUCCGCAAGUAUGGUUGGUAUGGAGAAUUCGUUCCUUAUUCAUCUUAAAAAGUAAAUUCCAACACUAAAUUACAUUAAAAAAAAUUAAUCUCAAAACGAAAUUUAAUGCAUCUACGGUUCAGUUCACACCAACAUUUAAAACUUUUUUAAAAUGUGUGUAAAAUGCAUGAAUAAAUUAGUUUAAUGUUAUUUUAAAGUAAUUCCCAUCGACAUAUAUUUACAACAUUUUUUGUAUAAAUAAUUUUGUAAGAAAAAAACAUUUUUUGUAUAAAUAAUGUUAAAAUUAUAAAUAGUACAGGUAAAUUUCUUUGAAUUCCUCAUUUUUUUUUUUUUCACUCUCGAUUCCAAAACUCACCUAAUUCUAUGGCUGUAGGCGACGGAUUACAAAAUCACGACCAUAACGGAACAAUUGGAAACCUCUGAUCCCAUUUUAGAGCGCCUUAAAUCCCUUAAAAUUGUAUGUUAUCUUUUUUCUAUUUUCAUUCUUUUUUUAUUAGCUUGUUCUAUAUCUAUGAAGGUGUGAAUUUGAUGAUUUUGUUGAUUGUUGCAACAGUAGACGCCUCCGAUAUUGACUAAUCCUCCGACAGAGGGUAGUUUGACAGAUAUUUUAGUGAGGAGGCCUUGGAUGUCGCAGGCUUCAGGUGAUUAUCACUUAUGGCUUAAUGAUUUGGAUUCCUAGUAGAUAGAAUGUAUGGCUUAUUGUAGCAAUGAAUUGGUUGUUAGUUCUUAGGUAGAUUUUCGCUAUGUUAUCGGAUUAUACAACUCAUUAUAUGAUGAGUCAUGUUUGGAUAAACAACUUAAUGCUUUUAGCAUAAGCGUUUAUUAUGUAAUUGUUUAUGUAUAAUUUAUUUAUAUAAUAAAAGAUAAAAUAAAGUUAAACAAAUUUUAUAUACACUAUAAGCUGUUUUCAUAAGUUAUCUUUGAGGGCUUAUGGAAAUAAGCUAAAAAUAAAUUAUACAUAUGUCUUAAUUUAUUUCCAUAAGCUAUCUCAAACAAAUCUCACAAGGGCUUAUGCCUAUAUAUAUAUAAGCUUAAAUAAGUUAAUCCAAACAGACACUGAUUACUGCUAUCUUAUUACUUCUUAGAAUAGAGGGCUUAUCAGGUUAUCAUAUUAGUGUUAUAGUUCAUGUAUUGAUUGUACAAUCGAAAAAUGAAGGAGAGGAUAUUCCACAUAACCAACUUUUAUUUUGCUUUUACAUGCUCUGCUAUCUUUGGAAGUUUGUGAAAAUAAGUUGAAAACAUGUCAUGUGCGUAUGAUGAGUUGUUUUUAUAAGCUAUUCUUAACCCUUGUACAAGUGUUUAUGUCAUCAAAUUGGUGUAAAUAAACUGUUCAGAAUGCUUUUGUUGUACAUGGACUGUGUUAAAUGUUAAUCUUGUGUGUUUUCAGAUACUACGUCAAUAUUUCUUUUGAUUGUAUGUCUUAUGUUUAUGAUGUUUAUUUACAAUUUUUUCUCUUGUUUCAUUUAUUCAAGUCUUCUUGCCUGGGGCUCUUAAUCGUUGCUAGUUUUUGCUUGUUGCGACUGGGUUAACAUCUUUUGCCAUUUAUUUUCUCCGAGUUAAAAUAUUCUUAAAUUCCUCAUCCUGAAAUGAUGAAGUGUUGGGAUAUAUAAUAUAGGAUAAUUAGAGUAGUUAAGAUUUAGUUUACAGAAUUAGUCAAAAAAAAAAAAAAUAUUAGUAUAUAGAAAUUUGUUAGUAAGUUGAUUAAUUUGUUAGGUGGUUGUUAAGAUUUGUUAUUUUGGAUAUUCAUAGAAAGUCUUUAAAUACCCCUCAAUUGGUAGAAGGGAAAGAUAGCUCUGAAAGAUUAUAUUUUGUGACUAGGAAUUAUCUAGUGUGAAAGGAGAGUGCUCCUUUUGGGGUAGCCUUGUCCAAUUUUUGGGAAUUCAUUCAUAGAGAAAGGAUCCUAUCAUGAAGUGACAAAGAUAUCAAUGCCUGGGCUUACACCAUCUUUACUUAACAAUGGGUUGUUUGUUUAGCUGGCUAGUUUCUCAAAAGAAAAAUGAAAUACAGGGAUCUAUUUUCUCCUAAUUUAUAUAUUUAUUGUUUGUCACAACAACACAUGCUAGAAAAUCUGCCUUCUGUUGCAUCUGAUCAGUCCCUAGAAAAAUAUUAGCUGUUUAAGUGGACUCCGUUAACUUUAACUCUUAAUGUUAAUAAUACCUGACGUUAGAAAAGGUCUCACUCUUAGAUUUUAAACUUAGCUGGUUAUGAAAAAUGAACAAUAGCAAGGAUAAUUUUCAGCUUCCUGCUGCAAAUAUGGAAAGUAUAUAUUUGGAAGUGUUUAAGGAAUCUUUCUGUAUACAGUUAAAUCUUUUUGUCUGCAUUCUCCUAUCACAGCUCACAGAUGAUAGCUGUCUGUGUUAGUAUGUCAUGUUGUGAGUUCAUGCUAGAUUGCAAUGAUGGUGAUUGCUGGAAUGGCAUAUUGGCAUGUCCUUUGCUGUAUGUACUUUUCCUAUAUGAUUUUGCUGUUUUUAAAAAUGAACUUUGUUGUUGUAAGCUUCAGGUUUUUCAAUCACUUUUAAAUCUUGGUCCUUUUUUCUGAUAUAUUAUGUUUGUUCUGGUCAUUCUUUUUGUAUCCUAUCAGCUGCAUUUAAUACCAACAAUAUUAUUUGGGAUUAAUACUUAGCUGCUCCCUUUGCUUGGUUGAAACAGCUACAGUGAAUCCCAAGGUUUUACUCAAGCUCUUCUCAAUGUACCGUGAUUGGCAAGAAGAAAGGGUCGAAGAAAUAAGCAGAAAACAGGUCUGUUUAAUACAAAAAUAGUUCAAUGGGUUCAUUAAAUAUUGGAUUCUAGAUUUUAUAAUACACCCACUCUCUCCACUCAGACCAAGGGCAACUUUUUCCACACAAUUUUUUUUCCCAUGUGAAAUAUAUACACCUUCUGUAUCCAAACUCAAACUCGCACUUUUAGGGUCCCUUUGAUUUAAGAAAAUGUUCUGUUUUCUUUAGUACUUAAAAAAUUGUCACCUUUUUUUACUUUGUGUUGGGAGUUCCACAUCUGAAUGUGAUAUGGCUUAAAAAGGCAACAAAGUUUUUGCCAGAUCACUUUGAUUACCCGCUAUAGGGUCACACAUCACUCACCUUAUAAGUCGGAUUUUUUUCGGUUGAGUUAGACCCAACCCAAAAUCUAAGAUUAUGUUACCUUUUUAGAUACUUUUAUAAGUUGUUUUCAACAGUUCCUAUCUUUUUAUACAAAACGAAAAUAUGAUAACAUUUUUAAAAGUAAUAUUGCAAACAGGAAAUGAAAUAAUCCUUGAAACCUAGCAGGCCUUUAGCAUUUAUUUUCAAUACCUGAGAUGCCUCUCUCUGUUGUUUGGAUGACCGGGUAAAAUUAAUACACCAUUAAUAGGCUAAAAGUACUCAAUCCAUCUCAGUUUUUUUUCUUCUUUUCUUUUUCGGAUUGGCAAAUAUUGGAAUAUUAGUUGUUAUGUUAGUAUUCUCUCAGUUCAAACUAGUUUAGCUACCAAGAUUUUUAACUAUAGGAUGAAUGCAAUUGAUUUUUACUGUAAAAUAAAGUUGACUAGAGUAGUAUAACAAACUUAGGGUCUGUUUACUUCGUGAAAACAUUUUCUAUUUUUAUUUUCUUAAAUUUGUGUUAAUUUUACUUGCUAAAGAGGAGAUAAGUGACUAUUGAAGUGAACAAUUGUCUGUAUUUCCAGAAACAAUAAAAAUGUUAAAAUUGUUUUCAUUAUUUCUGGAAAUGCAUCUUCGCUGGCUAUCAUUUCAUCUCUUCUCCGUCACAAAUGAUUCAAUUUAAAAGUAUGUAAUCUUCUUAUUAGCAAGUUAAAAUAACAUAUAUUUUAAAAAAUGGAAACAAAAAACAUUUUCCAAAGUAAAUAGACCCUUGGAUUUUCUUAUUAGAAUAAGCAUUGUGCAGUUAUUUCAGUGAGAAUCAACUUUGGGUUAAUUUUUCUUACAAAUUUUGAAAGGUUUAUUUGAUUUAAAGUAUGUGAAAGUCAAACAAAAAGAUAAAAUUUGGAGAUGGGAGGUAUAUGUAAUUUACUCUUAACUAUAUGCUCAUCUUAGGUACUUUUUCAUGCCAAUAAAUACAGAAUGCCUGUGGUCUUAAGCCUUAUGCGAUUCUAGCGCAAGAAAUUGCGAGAAAAUGUCUCAGCGAAUGAUUGUAAUAGAAUGUCUGGAUAUAAAUACUCCUUCAACUCGCUCUGGUUUUUUUAACUGAAGAAAAUAAACAAAUCAAUGAAUCAGUCUGGUACUGCUCCAUUUUUCAGACUUGUAACUUUCAAGCUAGGGUGAAACAUUUCUCAAUUCCAUAAUCAAAAGAAACAAAUCAGUAUUGUCAAAUACCAUGGCAGAUUGCGGUAGCCGUUUUUUUUUUUUUUUGAAAACUCGGUAUCCGAUCCAAGAAUCGACUAAUCCGAGGGGACCAAUCCCACCGCCCACUUGCGGGGGCCCCGUUUAAAGCCAGAGCAAGCUCUGUAUGAACUUAGCCCACCGAAAUUGGCACCAGAGGGAAUCAAACCUGAGACCUCUGGAGGAGCAAACUCCAAGAUCCCAAGCCAACCACUAGGCCAACCCCAAAUGGAUUGGUAGCCGAUUUUUAAUAAACCACCAUGGUCAAUUUAUAUGAUGGUGGCGCCAUGGUGGAUAUGGCAGACUUUUGGCUUUCCACCAUGGUCCGCCAUCCCCCACAAUAACUCUGAAACAAAUUAAGGCAUAAUAACCAGAUUACAAAAUUCUCAGCACAUUACAAAGCCAAAAAGAAAUUAGACUUAAUGAGAAUCAUAUUGCUUAGCAUUUUAGUUUCCACAAGAUGUGAAUGGAUUGCCGUCUGUUCCAAAAACAAAAGCCCCUUAGCGCCCCGGGACGGGAGUGGGGGACACCCUACGGGCAGGCAACAGCAGCACCGGCUCUACGAAGUCAGAACUAAUCUUUGUGUUGGCUUUCCCAAUUCAUUCGUGAAUAAGAAUUCAAGGGCUAGAAGCGAGCGCUUCUAGCUGCUUCGCCUGCUUCUUAUUUAUUGUGGCUAUGUUGGCGUGGCGGAAAUGAACGAAAAGCGAGAUCAACGUGCUAUUUAAAAAUCGAUUGAUAGAUAGCCUGAUCCGUUCUGAUAUGUAGAGUAAUAGAUUUGAUAUAUUCACAAGUGCAAAAUAAAUAACAACUCCAAAACCAUGAUGUAAACCGUGAACAAAUCAAAUUAAAGUCCAUCAACUAUGAUGAAUGAAUCACCGAAAGUAACAGCAACAUUAUAUGAUUAAAAUAAAAGAAGCAAAAGACCAUAAUUGAUCUAAAAACCAUCAUUCUAACAAAGAAAAUCAAGGUUGUUGUUGAGCAUCAAUGUACCCAGCAUCAACAAGCACUUUCUCCUUCUUAGCCAUCUCAACAUCAUUAUCAACCAUCAUUCUAACAAGCUCUUCAAAACUAACCUUAGGUUUCCAACCAAGAACUUUCUUAGCUUUACUAGCAUCACCUUUAAGAUUAUCAACUUCAGUAGGACGAAAGUAUCUCUUAUCAAUCACAACAUGAUCCUUCCAAUUCAAUCCAACAUAACCAAAAGCAACUUCCAAAAACUCUUCCACCGUAUGUGAAUCCUCCGUCGCCACAACAUAAUCAUCAGCCUUUUCCUGUUGUAGCAUCAACCACAUAGCUUCAACAUAAUCACCGGCAAAUCCCCAAUCCCUCGACGCACUUAGGUUUCCAAGAAACAACUUACUCUGAAGCCCGAUCUUGAUUCUUCCAACAACUCUAGUAAUCUUCCUUGUAACAAAAUUCUCUCCUCUACGUGGUGAUUCAUGAUUGAAGAGAAUUCCGUUACAAGCAAAAAUUCCAUAUGCUUCACGGUAAUUCACAGUGUACCUAUUCAAGAUGUAAAAGAAAGUUAGUGUUAUUUUCACAGUGUACCUAUUUGAGAUGUAAAAGUUAGUUACUACAUAUCAGUGUCCUUGUUUUUCAAGGUAUUAGAGAUGUAAAAGUUAGUUACAUAAAUAUCAGUGUUAUUUUCAUAAUGUACCUAUCAGACAUGUAAAAGUUAGUUACAUCAAUAUCAUUGUUAUUAUCGCAGCGUACCUAUUAGAGAUGUAAAAGUUAGUUAUCGGUAUCCGUUGCUAUUUCCAUUUCAUUAAUUUAUCCAUUUAUCUUAUUUAUGAGUUCUAUCAAGAAUUGUAAUAGUACCAAUGCGCAGCGACUUUGGAGGCGGCGUAAGGAGAUCGAGGAUGAAACGGAGUCGUUUCAGACUGCGGCGGCGGAGUUGAUCCAAACAUUUCGGAAGAUCCAGCUUGAUAGUACCGAAUGUGAGAUCUUCCUGUUGCAUCGAUAUGAGAUCGGACGGCU